CUCCAGCCUCCCAGUCUCUCGGAAUCCGCAGCCUAGGUGUGGCGCCCCGACCGGACUUUCACUUCUGGCCAGCCCUUUCCCCACCUGGGCGCGGGAGCGGGUGCCAGUCUUUAAACAACCUCUCGAUGGGUCCCACGAAGAUGUUUCCAGACCCUUGGAAUGCCAAGUUCAAGUUUAGCUAUGUCUCGCGGAGAGGCCGGUGGAAGAAGCAACGAGGUGAUCUUUCCUGCUUGGCAUCGGCAUCCUGGAACCCCGCGACCCUCCUCCUCGCAGGGGUCUCGGGACCCUCACCCUCUCAAGCGGGAACCGGCGUCUGGCGGGGGCGGGGGUGGGGGCGUUCUCGGGUUGCUGCUACCCAGCGGGGCGUGUGCUUGCCGUUUGUUAGAAUGCGGCUGACCAAAGGGUAGAAAAGGGGAAAGAUUAGGGAUCCACGAGGCUAAUAAAUUCUCAGUGGCUGCACACUUUCGGAACCGGGAAGCUCGGGGGCUUCCCCCGGAGCGGGCCCUGCAGCUGGGAUCCAAGUGAGCUGAGCUUCCCCGCCCUCCCAACCGCGUCCUGGGCCCUACUUCCUGCCCUUGCCUCCCCAACCCUGCAUCCCGCCCCGCACUUCCCGCACGUGGGUGUGGCCGGGCCCUCUCUAUUAAAGCAAGAGUGCCCUAGGACAAAGCCGCCCCUGUCCCGGACAGAGUGGAAUAAGAGCGCCUCCUUCAAUCCCCACUCGCGCCUGCACCCAGAGCACCUGGGACACAGCGGCUCUGUCUUGGAGAACAGGUGCCUCAAUAGGGAGGGCCUGGCCAAACCUAUGCGCGGGAAGUGCGGAGCGGGAUGCAGGGGUGGGGCGGCAGGUGCAGGUAGUAGAGCCCAGGCAUGCGGUUGGGGGGUGGGGGGAAAUCUCACGUGCGAUCCCAGGUGCGGAACCCGCUGCUGGGAAUGGGGUGGAAGCAAAACAGGUACUGCACGCACAGGCGAGGUGCCUCGUGGGGGAAUCGAAUGUCAGGGAUGGUGGACAGUGCGGAUGGGCGGCAGGUGCUGGGGCUCAGGGGAGAUAACUCAGAGGCAGGCUCGGUGGAGAACCCAAGGCCGGCGACCAGGUGCAGGCGGCCCACAGGCCCUGGAGGCAUACAGCGGGGGGACAAGGUGGGAAGGAGGCCUAUGCCCCAAGAGCUCAACCUGUGCUGCAUCCAGGCCAGCUGCCACCCAGGGUAUGGGCCGCAGAUGCCCUAGGAUCCUUGCUGAUGCAUGAUGCAUACCGGUGCCCAGCGUGAGAGCCAUGGGAAGGCAGCACGCAGCCCUGGCUCUCCCGCCCAGGCCCCUGAUACCAGGCCAGAGAAAGACCCGCCACUAAGAGCUCAUUUCCCCCUGGCCGGAGACCCAGGGGUCUGUGGACUGCAGCGCUAGGGUCCAUGCCCAGGUACCCAUAUUCCUCAGUGGCCUCUGCCCACUGACCACCCCCGCUCUCUCCCUCACUGCUGAAUGUCCAGGACCUUACUCGACAAACACCCAUAGUUGUUCGAGGAGGAGUUAAUGUACUGAUGGAUGGAUGCAGGCAUUUGCUCAUUGACAUCACUGCCCACCCCACCAUCUGCUUGCCUUCUGGCCAUGCUUCAAGCAGGCACUUUGGAUACUGGACUGUCUUCUGUGAAUGUGGCUUUGGGCAGCACUAAUAACAAGAGCUAGUUACAGGGCCUCACUGUGUGCCAGGCACUGCACUGUGUACACUCUUACCUGUCCUGGUCGUUCAAUGAUUAAAUAUGCAGAUCUAGGAGGUGGCUCUUACAGAUGGGGAAGCUGAGGCAGAGAGAGGCAGAAUAACUUGCACACGGGCACACAGCUAGAAGACAAGCUAGCACCUGGGAAGUCAGUCUCCAGAGCCCAGGCAGGGAAGUGUGUUUUGCUAACUCUCUGGUGUGAGCCACCGUGGUUCCCAGGGCCUCAGUUUCCCCAUCUAAGUUGAGAGGGGUGAGUUGGUCCUCCCAGCAGCUGUUCAGUGUGUCACUCCUCACCCAUCCUUUUAAAGCCCUGCUUCCUGGUGAGAGUCUCCCCUAGGCCAGGGUUUCCAGGCAUUCAUUUGCAUGAAUCCCCUAGAGAGCCUAUUCAAAGGCAGGUUCUGACUCUUUGAGGUUCUGUGUUUCUAAGUAGCCCAGGUGAUGCUGAUGCCCCAUUCACGAAUGGCACUCUGAGGAGGGAGGGCCUAGGUCAUUUCCCUGGAAAUGUAAGGAGAACCUCUCCUCAAGGAGUUCUACAGCCAACUAACAAACCACCAGUCCACAGGGGUGCUGCUUCAGACAAGCUCGCCUAGUGAUGGAUUGGAAUAGGCCAAGUCAGUGCAGAACUCCUGAAGGUUAUUAAAAAUCACGGAUCUACCAUUAAUCCAGAAAUACUUUAAAGCAGUUGGCUAUGCCCAUCUAGGGCACUGUGUGCUUGGGAGGGUGGAUGUGAAGAUAGCACCUACAGCUGAGUAGGAAAACAGCUCUUCCAACUCCCACUUGCAACCCUUUCUCACCUAAGAACUUGAAAAAUUAUGUGUCUAUGAGCCAGUUGGGCAGACAGGUGAGAUGCCCUCAAUUUUGUACUUUAAAUCUCUCCCCGUGUGAAUCUUAGUCCCUGGUGCACCUCACUGAGCCUGAUUCCUUACCUCCUGAUGAUGCUUCCCGAAAUCCCCUUGCUCCCAGGUUAACAACUCCCACCCCCAGUGUCUCCUAGCAAUGGGCUCCACUUGCAAGAAUCUCUACUAUAUACAAAGCAUUCAUUCAUGUAUUCAUUCAUUCAUUCAUUCAUUCACUCACUCAGCAGAAGAUGAAUGAGUGCUUGUCAGAGUUAGGCUUGGAGUUGGUGGUAGACAAACAAAGGAAAGGCAGGCUUUGGAACUAGAAAGUGCCCUAUGAGUGAUUUAGGUAGAACUAUCCAAUGGCCAUGACCAGACUGGAUGAGCCUGUGAGAAUUGGGAGCAGGAAAACCAGCUAUAACCUCUUGCAACUGUCCAGGCUUGAAACACUAGAAGAUUCACUUGAAAAUUACUAGUGCUUUUGGCAGGGGCAUUUAUUCAGUGUUCACUGGGCAGCUGUGCCCUGCUGCAAACAUGGUAGGCACUGAGAAGACAACAGUCAGCAAGGCAGUCUCUGUGCCUGAGAGGCUCCUGGGAUGAGGAAGGAGAUAGGUUCAUAGUCAGGUCACCCCUCCAGGCUGCAGAGCGCUAGAGAAAAGUCCUUCCCACAAAGGUCCAGGCUUGGGGUAAAGAGCCUCCCAGACCUGGGGCUGCUGGGAGACCUGCCCAGAGGGUCCUGGAGGAGGAGGUGGGGGAAGGAAGGCAGCAUUCCAUACUCAAAGGUCUAGAGCUGCAAAAAGGCUCAGAGAAUUCCAGAUGCAGGACUUUUAAUGAAGCUGGAGCACAGACUGCAGCUCUGUGGGGAUAAGUGUGAUGGGGAGUGAGAGAAGUAAGAGGGGUCAGACUUUCUGGUACAGAGGAGAAAGCUGGCCUUGGUCUAAAAGGGACAUGAACACCCUAGAGUCUCCUCCUGAGAGUGGCUGGAUCGGGGUGUGCUUAGACCCCAGGCAGCAGUGGGGGAGGUGGGAGUGGGGAGGUUGCAGGCAGCCCUGCUGUCAGAGGCUGGGCAAAAGUCCUGGCGAAGAGCAGUGAGGGCCUGGUCUGAGGCCCAGAUCGUGCAGAAGUGAUGAAAUUCAGGGAUGAAUGGGACGAAGGACUGGCCCAAGGUGACUUGGUGCUGUCAGAUUGGGAGACUGAGUGGACAGAGGGAGUCUCAGGCAUAGGGAGACAAUAUGGAACUCGGUCAGGACAUCUCGGUGGAGAUUCAGGGCUCAAAAGGGACAGAGUGUCUGGGGUUGGAGACUUGAGUCAUGUGAGGGGCUUGUGGACAGGUCAUCUCAGGAGCUCUGAAGUGUUUAGGGAAAGAGGCCAGAACCCUGGGGACAGUGGCACUUAAAGGGUCUCUGUCUCAUGCCACAGGUGGGAAAGUUCAGUUAGAGAAGUGGGGACAGAGCCAGAAGAGAGCACCUUGGCAAUAUCUAAGGCCAUAAGGCCUAUUAGGACAAGGGUUAAACAAUUAGGACAGAUUGUUAAACUUGUUGGGUAGGUGGUAUGCAGUGGCCUAAGCAGGAACAGCUCUAUUAUCCAGGUGGGGAUGGCAGCUCCACUAUAGUGGUCAAGUCCUAAAUGGUGAGUAAGGGUAGAGGUUUUCCCACUGGUGAGCCCCCUGAAAACCUUGGCCUCCUAGUCUGGAAGAUAUUAGGUUGCUGCAAAAGUAAUUGCGGC
rnacentral:lncRNA from 1 species